rnacentral:rRNA from 1 species
AAGGACAGUUAGGUUAAAGUAAUAAAAGUUUGUCAACCUACUAUAAAAAGGUAAAAUUUGUAUAUAGAUAGUUAAUCUAGUUAUAACUUAAAUACUGAAGCUGUGAUAAUUUUGAGGGAAACUGGGAUUAGAUACCCCAUUAUUCAUAAUCAUAAAUAAAAUAAAAAUUUCACCAGAGGACUAUGAAUAAAAUGUUUAAAACUCAAAGAGCUUGGCGGUGUUUUAGACCCAUCAGGGGAACCUGUCUCAUAAUCGACAAUCCACGUUAUACCUAACCUUUUAUUGUAAACAGUUUGUAUAUCGUCGUCGUCAGGUAACUUUUAAAAAUUUAGAAGUUAGCAAUAUAAAUUAUUUUAAAUUAGUACGUCAGAUCAAGAUGCAGCUAAUGAAAGGGUGAGGAUGGGUUACAAUUAUACUAUUCAUAAUUACGAAUAAUUAGAUGAAAAUAUAAAUUGAAGGAGGACUUGAAAGUAAAGAGCAUGUAUAUAUAUGCCUUGAAUAAGGCUCUGAAACGUGUACAAACCGCCCGUCGCUCUCGUUGAAAAAUGAGAUAAGUCGUAACAUAGCAGGUGUAAUGGAAAUUGCCCCUAAAUG